GGAAUAUUGGACAAUGGGGGAAACCCUGAUCCAGCAACGCCGCGUGGGGGAUGAAGGUCUUCGGAUUGUACACCCCUGUUGAGAGGGACGAAGGCUUGCGGGCAAACAGUCCGUACGCUUGACGGUACCUCGAGAGGAAGCCCCGGCUAACCCUGUGCCCGCAGCCGCGGUAAUACAGAGGGGGCGAGCGUUAUUCGGAAUUAUUGGGCGUAAAGGGCGCGUAGGCGGCCGAGCAAGUCUUGGGUGAAAUCCCUCGGCUCAACCGAGGAACUGCCUUGGAAACUGCUUGGCUCGAGGCCGGGAGAGGGUGGUGGAAUUCCCAGUGUAGCGGUGAAAUGCGUAGAUAUUGGGAGGAACACCAGUGGCGAAGGCGGCCACCUGGACCGGUCCUGACGCUGAGGCGCGAAAGCGUGGGGAGCAAAC
rnacentral:rRNA from 1 species